CUCUUGNNUCNNCNGAAUUCGGCAGAGAUGCCUUAGUGCCUUCGGGAACUGUGAGACAGGUGCUGCAUGGCUGUCGUCAGCUCGUGUUGUGAAAUGUUGGGUUAAGUCCCGCAACGAGCGCAACCCUUAUCCUUUGUUGCCAGCNCGUAAUGGUGGGAACUCAAAGGAGACUGCCGGUGAUAAACCGGAGGAAGGUGGGGAUGACGUCAAGUCAUCAUGGCCCUUACGAGUAGGGCUACACACGUGCUACAAUGGCGUAUACAAAGAGAAGCGAACUCGCGAGAGCCAGCGGACCUCAUAAAGUACGUCGUAGUCCGGAUCGGAGUCUGCAACUCGACUCCGUGAAGUCGGAAUCGCUAGNNNUCGUAGAUCAGAAUGCUNCGGUGAAUACNUUCCCGGG
rnacentral:rRNA from 1 species